AGGAAGAGAGGAAGGAAAGGGAAGGAAAGGGAAAGGAAAGAAAGGAAGGAAGGAAGGAAGGAAGGAAGGAAGNGAGAGAAAGAGAGAAAGAGAGAAAGAGAGAAAGAAAUUUUAAAGAAAGAAAGAAAGAAAGAAAGAAAGAAAGAAAGAAAGAAAGAAAGAAAGAAAGAAAGAAAGAAAGAAAGAAAGAAAGAAAGAAAGAAAGAAAGAAAGAAAGAAAGAAAGAAAGAAAGAAAGAAAGAAAGAAAGAAAGAAAGAAAGAAAGGGAGAGAAAAGGAGAGAAAAGGAGGGAAAGGGAUAGAGGUGGAGAGAGAGAUUCCUGCGGGGAUGAUUUGGGGACCAGAAGAAUCAUG
rnacentral:lncRNA from 1 species